CGGAUUGCAGUCUGAAACUCGAGUGCAUGAAGCUGGAAUCGCUAGUAAUCGCAAAUCAGAAAUGUUGCGGUGAAUACGUUCCCGGGUCUUGUACACACCGCCCGUCACACCAUGGGAGUUGGAAAUGCCCGAAGUCAGUGACCCAACCAAAAGGAGGGAGCUGCCGAAGGCAGGUUCGAUGACUGGGGUGAAGUCGUAACAAGGUACC
rnacentral:rRNA from 1 species